rnacentral:rRNA from 2 species
UACGAAGGGGGCUAGCGUUGCUCGGAAUGACUGGGCGUAAAGGGCGCGUAGGCGGACAUAUUAGUCAGGCGUGAAAUUCCCGGGCUUAACCUGGGGGCUGCGUUUGAUACGGUGUGUCUUGAGUGGGGAAGAGGGUCGUGGAAUUCCCAGUGUAGAGGUGAAAUUCGUAGAUAUUGGGAAGAACACCGGUGGCGAAGGCGGCGACCUGGUCCUUGACUGACGCUGAGGCGCGAAAGCGUGGGGAGCAAACAGG